UACGGGGGGGGCAAGCGUUGUUCGGAAUUACUGGGCGUAAAGGGCUCGUAGGUGGCCAAUUAAGUCAGACGUGAAAUCCCCAGGCUCAACCUGGGAACUGCGUCUGAUACUGGUUGGCUUGAAUUCGGGAGAGGGAUGCAGAAUUCCAGGUGUAGCGGUGAAAUGCGUAGAUAUCUGGAGGAAUACCGGUGGCGAAGGCGGCAUCCUGGACCGAGAUUGACACUGAGGAGCGAAAGCCAGGGGAGCAAACAGG
rnacentral:rRNA from 1 species